ACGAACGCUGGCGGCGUGCUUAACACAUGCAAGUCGAACGGAAAGGCCCUGCUUUUGUGGGGUGCUCGAGUGGCGAACGGGUGAGUAACACGUGAGUAACCUGCCCUUGACUUUGGGAUAACUUCAGGAAACUGGGGCUAAUACCGGAUAGGAGCUCCUGCUGCAUGGUGGGGGUUGGAAAGUUUCGGCGGUUGGGGAUGGACUCGCGGCUUAUCAGCUUGUUGGUGGGGUAGUGGCUUACCAAGGCUUUGACGGGUAGCCGGCCUGAGAGGGUGACCGGCCACAUUGGGACUGAGAUACGGCCCAGACUCCUACGGGAGGCAGCAGUGGGGAAUAUUGCACAAUGGGCGGAAGCCUGAUGCAGCAACGCCGCGUGCGGGAUGACGGCCUUCGGGUUGUAAACCGCUUUCGCCUGUGACGAAGCGUGAGUGACGGUAAUGGGUAAAGAAGCACCGGCUAACUACGUGCCAGCAGCCGCGGUGAUACGUAGGGUGCGAGCGUUGUCCGGAUUUAUUGGGCGUAAAGGGCUCGUAGGUGGUUGAUCGCGUCGGAAGUGUAAUCUUGGGGCUUAACCCUGAGCGUGCUUUCGAUACGGGUUGACUUGAGGAAGGUAGGGGAGAAUGGAAUUCCUGGUGGAGCGGUGGAAUGCGCAGAUAUCAGGAGGAACACCAGUGGCGAAGGCGGUUCUCUGGGCCUUUCCUGACGCUGAGGAGCGAAAGCGUGGGGAGCGAACAGGCUUAGAUACCCUGGUAGUCCACGCUGUAAACGGUGGGUACUAGGUGUGGGGUCCAUUCCACGGGUUCCGUGCCGUAGCUAACGCUUUAAGUACCCCGCCUGGGGAGUACGGCCGCAAGGCUAAAACUCAAAGGAAUUGACGGGGCCCCGCACAAGCGGCGGAGCAUGCGGAUUAAUUCGAUGCAACGCGUAGAACCUUACCUGGGUUUGACAUGGAUCGGGAGUGCUCAGAGAUGGGUGUGCCUCUUUUGGGGUCGGUUCACAGGUGGUGCAUGGCUGUCGUCAGCUCGUGUCGUGAGAUGUUGGGUUAAGUCCCGCAACGAGCGCAACCCUUGUUCACUGUUGCCAGCACGUUAUGGUGGGGACUCAGUGGAGACCGCCGGGGUCAACUCGGAGGAAGGUGGGGAUGACGUCAAGUCAUCAUGCCCCUUAUGUCCAGGGCUUCACGCAUGCUACAAUGGCUGAUACAGAGAGUGGCGAGCCUGUGAGGGUGAGCGAAUCUCGGAAAGCCGGUCUCAGUUCGGAUUGGGGUCUGCAACUCGACCUCAUGAAGUCGGAGUCGCUAGUAAUCGCAGAUCAGCAACGCUGCGGUGAAUACGUUCCCGGGGCUUGUACACACCGCCCGUCAAGUCAUGAAAGUUGGUAACACCCGAAGCCGGUGGCCUAACCGUUGUGGGGGAGCCGUCGAAGGUGGGACUGGUGAUUAGG
rnacentral:rRNA from 1 species